rnacentral:rRNA from 1 species
GGCGUCGCGCUUACCAUUCAAGCCGAGCGGGCAUGCAAUAUGGUCAGCGGCAGACGGGUGAGUAACGCGCUGGGAACGUACCUUUUGGUUCGGAACAACUGAGGGAAACUUCAGCUAAUACCGGAUAAGCCCUUACGGGGAAAGAUUUAUCGCCGAAAGAUCGGCCCGCGUCUGAUUAGCUAGGUUGGUGAGGUAAUGGCUCACCAAGGAGACGAUCAGUAUCUGGACUGAUAGGAUGAUCAGCCACUUUGGGACUGAGACACCCCCCAUUCUCGAGCCCAGCCCCAAUAUGGCUUGGC